CCGAUUUGGUGGCAUAAAGUCCAAAAUUUCAUGGAAGAAAAUCUGAAUUUUUUUUUUAUAUAUUUAAACUAGAUACCCUAGAUAGAAAGUAUCAAUAAAUAUUUUUGUCAAAAAUGCAACCUUGCAAUUUUUACAGAUGUUUAAAGUCAGGUGAUUGAGCAGCUGAUUUUUGUGACAAAAUUGGCGGGAAAUUUUUAAUAACUUUGAGCGCUUGGCAAAUCUAAACUAAACAAUAUUUUUCUAUUAUUUAAAAUGGAUAUUGAAGUUGGAGGAAAUCAAAAAGCUGACAAAAGUGUUCGUCUUCUGUAGAGGAAAAAAAGGUGUUCUGCGUAUUUGUGCGUUGUUUAAUAUGUGCUUGAAUUCUGUCACGCCACGUUGCUGGACGUGUGGAUGGACAGCGGGCGCCACUCUUCCGC